UGGCUCUCGCAUCGAUGAAGAACGCAGCAAAGCGCGAAAUGUAGUGUGAAUUGCAGAAUUCAGUGAAUCAUCGAAUCUUUGAACGCACCUUGCGCUCUUGGGUUAUUCCUGAGAGCAUGUUUGUUUGAGUAACGGAAAACUCUCAAUCCCACCUUAUUCUUAAUUGAAAAAGGUUGUGUCAUGUCAUUGCUUUUGAGCGAUGGACUACUUAGGACUGGAUUGUGAAAGCUGUGCAGUUGGAUUAACUUUUGACUGCUCUUUCGAAAUGCACAAAGCUGAAACCGUGAGCUUGUUUAUGGAUUUGUUGCGAGCCUUUGCGCUCAAGCUGUUGUUGUAUAACUUCGGUCUCAAUAGCGAUGACAACGAAACCUUAGCUCAAUGUGUCUAAAGUAGGCUUCAAAAACCAAACUCUAUUUUCCUCGUUCUCAAAUCAAGCAGGACUACCCGCUGA
rnacentral:misc_RNA from 1 species